ACGAACGCUGGCGGCGUGCUUAACACAUGCAGGUCGAACGGUGAAGGGGUCUGCUUUUGUGGGCCCUGGAUGAGUGGCGAACGGGUGAGUAACACGUGAGUAACCUGCCCCCUUCUUCUGGAUAACCGCAUGAAAGUGUGGCUAAUACGGGAUAUUCUGGGUCUGUCGCAUGAUGGGUCUGGGAAAGAUUGCGCCUUUGGGUGUUUUUGGGGGGGGAUGGGCUCGCGGCCUAUCAGCUUGUUGGUGGGGUGAUGGCCUACCAAGGCGGGGACGGGUAGCCGGCCUGAGAGGGUGGACGGUCACACUGGGACUGAGACACGGCCCAGACUCCUACGGGAGGCAGCAGUGGGGAAUAUUGCACAAUGGGCGCAAGCCUGAUGCAGCGACGCCGCGUGAGGGAUGGAGGCCUUCGGGUUGUAAACCUCUUUCGCCAGUGAAGCAGGCCUGCUCCUUGUGGGUGGGUUGACGGUAGCUGGAUAAGAAGCGCCGGCUAACUACGUG
rnacentral:rRNA from 1 species